UACGGGGGGUGCGAGCGUUGUCCGGAAUCACUGGGCGUAAAGGGCGCGUAGGUGGUUUGAUAAGGGUGUGGUGAAAGUCCGGGGCUCAACCCCGGAUCUGCCGUGCCGACUGUCAAACUCGAGGGCUGUAGAGGCAGACGGAAUUCCGGGUGUAGCGGUGGAAUGCGUAGAGAUCCGGAGGAAGACCGGUGGCGAAGGCGGUCUGCUGGGCAGUUUCUGACACUGAUGCGCGACAGCGUGGGGAGCAAACAGG
rnacentral:rRNA from 2 species